CUGUGGAAGCAGACCCCACUGUUGUGCAACGCGGGAAUCAAUCAUUCCUUUGACUCACCGCCCCUUCAUUCUCAUUCAUUCCAUUACUCUUCACAAUCGCACGCUUUCUUUUAUUCUUUUCUCUAAUCUCUAAUCUCUAAUCUAUAAUCACUAAUCUUAAUCUUCAAAAUGUAUCCAAAGGUGAAGGUAAGGCAGGAACCGGACGAAGACGAUGCUGAUGUUCGGUAUUUGGGUUUGAAAGCUUUCCUCUCUUUAUCCUUGGAUGCCUCACCUUCUCCAGUGGACCAGAAAGUUGUCUCCAUGCCAUCUAGCGAUGAAGUACCAAAGUGUUACGUGCCUCAUGUACCUAUUCCAAGAGUACAUGUAACUGAAGAUUCUGGAGAUUUCAGUUCGACACCUGAUUCUUCAGGAGGUACAGGACCUGAGAAGGAUGACAGUACUGAUGAAAAUAAAAUAAAUAUUAGAGCCAGUUCUAUUCCACGCCCUCGUGCUGUCAUUUCUAGUCCGGACAAGAGUGUUGUUUUUGAUGGGCCUUUAAAGCUGAGAGAAGUACUUGCUUACUUGCGGUAGAGAAGAGAUCCUGUUAGAAGAUAUGGAAGUACUUUUUCUUUUUAAUUGUUCAUUGAAACUUCUUCCCGAAGGAUGCAACCUCAUUCAUAAAAUGAGCUUUCAGAUAAAAAAGAGCAAAUUUGAAUUACUUCAAAGAGAAUGACAUAAUGAUCGGGAAUAUAAACAAGACUAGGGAUGGAAGACUCUCUGCUUCGAAGAAUGGCGCUGCGUUACACAAUCGGCAUGCACAUUGUAAAGUUAAAUCACAUGGCGUUACUGAUAUUCCUCCAGACACAAGAAAACACAAGGAGCCUGGGUCUAAGGAUAAAAUUGAUCCUGUAGGAAAGAAAAAGGUCCAUAAAGGCAGCAUAAAAUCUGAGAAUGCGCCUAGGAACUGGAAAUUUUAGUUCUGUCAUAACCUAGGAGCAUGACUAGUUACCAGUUUACUGGCAAUCAAAAUGUAUUUUUGAUCUUAAUCUAGGACUAGGUUCCCUCCCAAUGAAAAAAGAGAGAAUAAAAUAGUGCAUGCUUUGAUGUAACCAUGCCGGCAUAUUUAGUACUUUCUCACCAAUAUUUUUAAUGUUAACUUGAUGUGUGCAUGUAAGAGUCUUUAAGGAAGAAGCCAAUGCCUGAAAAAUUUAAGAUUUUUGUAAGAUUGUUUAAGGAAAAAGAUUCAACGGGUGAGAUAUCAUAUACCAGUGCUCCAUGGAUGUCAUGUGUAUAAAAAAUGAAUAUUUGGGAGGCAACACAUGGAGCUUAUGAAAUUUAU